rnacentral:lncRNA from 1 species
CUGCUGAGUUUUCAUUUGCCUUUUUUUAUUAAGUUUUGUUCUGUCCUUUUCUUCCUGGCAUAGCUCACACGCAGAUCCAUUUUGCUGCUAUAAUUGAAAGCACAGCCUGUGAAGUCUACCCUAAGCAAGCCAAGACCUCCUCUCCUGGAUUAAUACACUAGCCAUAGUCUUUGGAUUGGCAUCAAACGCAGUCCCAAGGAAGCUCAGUGAAGUGCGGAGUGAACACCCCCACCCCAUCCCAGCAACACUGAGAAUGUAAAUCGGGGGCUAUAUUUAAAGCGGGCAACCAAGUCUCAGAGGCCCUCACCUCCUUCACCCACCAGCCUGACCAAGGGUGGAUGUCAAGGGAAAUCUCUCCCACCGCUCAUUCUGUAAGUCGAGUCAGUUUCCCUCCUUUAGGGUCCCAAUAUAAACAAUUGUGUUAAGAGCUA